rnacentral:tRNA from 1 species
GGAGAGGUGGCAGAGUGGUCGAUUGCGGCGGUCUUGAAAACCGUUGUACCGCGAGUGCCGGGGUUCGAAUCCCUGUCUCUCCG